CCUUCGCUCAACAGAUCGCUGUCGAAGCUCACACACAGAGAUGUUUCAUCUGAAAAAUCUCUUCCUCUAGCUUUGGGAGAAAGUCCCCGGACACCUUCUUCUUCCUCACGGAAAAGAAGCAUGCGGAAACGCGCCGCCAUAAAAGCAUUGCGGCUGACUUCCGUGCCUUGGCCGCCUCUGGCAAUGACCAUACCCGGCUUGCCGCUACAUUCGCCCGCCUCGAGCCGAUGCGUCACCUCCUUCUCACAGCCGCCGCUCGAACCCUCACAGGAUGAAGAUACGAGUCCGAGUCGGGUGCGGUCCCGGGAUGGAGUGUGCGUUUGGCAGACAGCAGGUGGGUGGUAGGUUGACGCUUGUGGCUCUUGCUGUGGUGGUUUCGGGCGCAGAAGGUAUUUGUCGAGAUCGAUAGUAAUGCGAUUGCUGAGCUUCACGGCUCAGUUACUCGAUGGGGCUCAUUCUUGCGGCGAAG
rnacentral:RNase_MRP_RNA from 2 species